AUCGUGAACAACAUGAUAUUCUGUGGUGUUUCCAUUAUCUUAUUUCUGAACAAAACGGAUUUGCUCGAUAAGAAAGUGAAGUCACAGGAUACGAAUGUUCGUUGGUACUUUCCACAAUUUACGGGUGAUUCACAUUCCAUGAAGGACGUGCAAAAUUUUAUACUCGACAUGUUCAUCUCCGUCAAGAGAGAUCCGAGGAAGCCGUUGUUCCAUCACUUCACCACCGCGGUGGACACGGAGAACAUUAAAGUUGUCUUCAACGCGGUAAAGGACACUAUUCUGCAUCGGAACUUAGAAUCUCUUAUGCUUCAAUAAUGCCGCAGAGACGGAGGAAUUAAACACAGAUAAAGCAGCUAGUAACACAAAGAUGUACGUGAUCCCCAAUGCUUUUUCCAUGGUAUAAUACGUAAGGUGUUAUUGCUGGUUGUUAAACCAGAAUUCACAGGUCUAUGGAAUAACUUAUUUCUUACUUACUUAAGAUGAAUUAUACCCCUUAAUUAACGCUGAAUAUAUUAAGUAACAUGAAAAAAAACCAAAUAUACUAGAUUCAUGCCAUAUGAACCAAAUGAAACUAACCAGUUUGUGUUCAAAUUGCUGUGGAGAAAAAUAGAGAAUUAUUCGUCUAUUUCUUCAUCUUUUGAGGAGAGGAUGCAAUAUCGCUCGAUGUUAAUGCUAUUCAAAUCUAUGUAUCUUGCAUACUAUAUACAUUGAUUCACUCUCGAGAUUCGCUUUCUAAGGUGCUGUUAACCUCGUAGACUGAAGAUCAUGAUAAUUGUAUUAACUGAAAUUGUUUCCUUUUUGUACGAAACAGAUUGUCAAUUGAAAUUUCGUAAAUAUUACAUAAAGUUUUUAUAUGCGUAACACGACAAUACAAUUUUCCUUGCGCUGAGUUGCGAGGUACAAGGUUUAUUCUACAUUAGAAAAGUGUAAUAGCAGUUAGAAAUUUUAUUAUUUAAUUGCAUCAUAUAAUACAUUUUAUUUGUCUGUCUUGUAAAUUUGAUAACUGAUCCUUGACGGGGGGAAUAUAUAUAUUUAUACUUUUGGAGGAAAAUUUAAUUUGCAUAGGAAUGAUCAGUAUUAUUCUUUUUCCACAUUGUGUGGAUCAAUGAAAUAUUUGCGUGAGUUGACUUUCAAUAGUCCAUGGAAAAGCCAGAUUUUGCAACAGCAAUUUGUAUAGGCUACGUCUAAUUUAGCAUAUUAUAAAUAUGAUAUUGUGUUUAUGUCUAUUAUAUGCAUGCAUACUUGAUUAAAAAUUUUGUUAUCUUGUGCAAGUGAAUGUCAGUUGACAAAUCUGGCGCAAUUCGGACUAAACCGCUGUAAUGUACCAAAAAAUCUUAAAAAAAUAGUAAGAAGUAUACUUUGCGUGGAAGAGAAAUUUUUGUCCAGUUGUUUCUAGCAAUGAAAGUAACAAUAUUUUUUAUUAUAUGUAUACGCGCACACAUAAGUUGUACCCAAAGAUUUUAUGUAAUGAUGUUGGUUAAGCCAAAGAGCCCUAUGUAGAAUCGAGGAGUUUCUACAUACUUUAUAUCUUUUUUUUUCUCUUUUUUUCUUUUUUUAUUAGUUUAUCUAACGAUGUGCAGUGUACCGAUCUACGUGUUGUAUUAGAUAUUCUUGAAAAUAUAAUUGCGGUCACGAUACGGUCACGAGUUAACGCGAGGUGUGUGUUUUGAUUUUGUAGUUAGAUAUCAUCUAUUACAUAAAAUCUUUGCUAUCUUUUAAUCUGCGAAAAUUCAGGAAAGAGAUAUAAGUUCACUAACUACAGUAGUAAAUUUAUGAUAUGCACUUACAUUAAUAUAUGAAAA
rnacentral:misc_RNA from 1 species